rnacentral:rRNA from 1 species
GAUGAACGCUGGCGGCGUGCUUAACACAUGCCAGUCGAACGAUGAAGCCCAGCUUGCUGGGUGGAUUAGUGGCGAACGGGUGAGUAACACGUGAGUAACCUGCCCUUGACUCUGGGAUAAGCCUGGGAAACUGGGUCUAAUACCGGAUACGACCAUUGCCCGCAUGGGUUGGUGGUGGAAAGCUUUUGUGGUUUUGGAUGGACUCGCGGCCUAUCAGCUUGUUGGUGAGGUAAUGGCUCACCAAGGCGACGACGGGUAGCCGGCCUGAGAGGGUGACCGGCCACACUGGGACUGAGACACGGCCCAGACUCCUACGGGAGGCAGCAGUGGGGAAUAUUGCACAAUGGGCGAAAGCCUGAUGCAGCGACGCCGCGUGAGGGAUGACGGCCUUCGGGUUGUAAACCUCUUUCAGUAGGGAAGAAGCGAGAGUGACGGUACCUGCAGAAGAAGCGCCGGCUAACUACGUG